UGUGUUUACCCGAAGGCAGUGCGCUAACCGCAAGGAGGCAGCUGACCACGGUAGGCUCAGCGACUGGGGUGAAGUCGUAACAAGGUAGCCGUAGGUGAACCCGCAGAAGGAUCA
rnacentral:rRNA from 1 species